rnacentral:rRNA from 1 species
AACGAACGCUGGCGGCAGGCUUAACACAUGCAAGUCGAACGCCCCGCAAGGGGAGUGGCAGACGGGUGAGUAACGCGUGGGAAUCUACCCAUCUCUGCGGAAUAGCUCCGGGAGACUGGAAUUAAUACCGCAUACGCCCUACGGGGGAAAGAUUUAUCGGGGAUGGAUGAGCCCGCGUUGGAUUAGCUAGUUGGUGGGGUAAAGGCCUACCAAGGCGACGAUCCAUAGCUGGUCUGAGAGGAUGAUCAGCCACAUUGGGACUGAGACACGGCCCAGACUCCUACGGGAGGCAGCAGUGGGGAAUAUUGGACAAUGGGCGCAAGCCUGAUCCAGCCAUGCCGCGUGAGUGAUGAAGGCCUUAGGGUUGUAAAGCUCUUUCACCGGUGAAGAUAAUGACGGUAACCGGAGAAGAAGCCCCGGCUAACUUCGUGCCAGCCGCCGCGGUAA